rnacentral:rRNA from 1 species
AACCUACCUUUUACAGAGGAAUAGCCUUUAGAAAUGAAGAUUAAUGCCUCAUAGUAUUGUAGACUGGCAUCAGUUUAUAAUUAAAGAUUUAUCGGUAAAAGAUGGCUAUGCGUCCUAUUAGUUAGUUGGUAAGGUAACGGCUUACCAAGACAGCGAUAGGUAGGGGUCCUGAGAGGGAGAUCCCCCACACUGGUACUGAGACACGGACCAGACUCCUACGGGAGGCAGCAGUGAGGAAUAUUGGACAAUGGAGGAGACUCUGAUCCAGCCAUGCCGCGUGUAGGAAGAAUGCCCUAUGGGUUGUAAACUACUUUUAUACAGGAAGAAACACUGGUAUGUAUACC